GCCAGCCAUUAGGGGUGGGAAUAAAAAAAAAAAGAAAGGGGGCAACGGUGACUGGUUUGUUCCAAUCGGAGUGAGGCCAGCGAGUCACGUGGGUGCCCUCGGGAGCGGCUAUCACCGCUGGCGGCCCCUGGUGCUGUGUUCGGGCACUGCAGUGUGUGUGGGCCGGCGGGGCGGCACCGCUCCCGGCAUGCUCUGCGCGGGGGCGCUCGGUGCGCGCGAGGCGGAGCGGAGCCUGCUGGGAGUCGUAGUCUGUGCGGCGGGGGCGUGCCCGCGCCCCUGAGCGCGCGGGGGCUGCCCUAACGGUUGUAACGGCGCCAACGGCUCCUGUUUCUCAGGGGAGUCUUGUGGCGCUGCCCGCGGCGGGGCGUGCGUGGCAGCGGCGGCACCAGCCGUCCCCGGGGAGCCCCGGCGGCUCACCUUCCUCCGCUGAGGGGGCCCUGGGCUGGCGUUAAGCGCUGCUUGCUCGCCCCUCAGCUCUGGAGCCCGUUUGUCUCUCAUGCUACUACUUGUAGAUAUUUUUCUCUUCAACUGCUACAUUAAUAACUACAUCAGAAUUGCAAAGGAGUUUAAGUCAUUUUGUUGUGGAGUGAAACGUGCCAAAAUGCACAAUGCAAUACAAAAGAGGAGCUUAUGGGUGAUUUGGGAUAAGUGCUGACUUCUAGUUGAUUCUGAAGUGAAGAUGCGAUUGAAGUGGACAAGAGCCCAUUUCUGGGUGCCUUCGCAACUCCAAAGAAGAGAACAGAAAGAAGAAGAAGAAUGGGGACCAGAGGAAUGUUUUCUACAGACCAGCUAAUUCCAAGUAACUUCAAUAGUUUAAUGUGUGAAAGAAAUCUUUUGUAGAGAAUGUAACCUUCUACUGCUUUCAUGUUGCUUUAUUUUCUGUUUGCUUUUCUGUUAGUUUUUCUUUUGUUUGUUUUGGUUUGGGUUUUUGUGUGUGUGUGUGUGUGUGUGUUUUUAAUUACAGCAAACUCAAGUAUCCUGAAACCCUCGGCAUUGUAGACAUCUAUAUCACAGUCUCUUUUCCAAACCGAUUUGACUGUAAGGUCUUGAGUCUAACGGCAUCCUCGUGAUACAGCUCUGGAACUCUGCAAAACUGGGGCCUAAAGGAAGAAAAACAAUAACCUAAGGAGGGACAAAUUUGUGGGUAACAGUCACUGGAACAUAUAAAGUGAUAUUUGGCCAUGUGACAUACUUAUUUAUUGGACUUAGGAGGUAGAUACAAAGAUACUACAACUGUUAAUAGCCCCUGGGCAUACCUACACAUUGUAUGAGAGCUGUGUGGCCCCAAAAUGCUUUGAAACCUUGAAAUUGUGUAUCUCUGUUACAAGCAGUUUUCCUUGAGCUGAAGCUUGAGCUCACACAAACCAUUUGGCUUUGCAGUAGGACUUCAGUGGGGCCUUCCUGGAAGAACCUUCAGCCAUCUCAUUUUGCUGACCUCCAUGAUAUGAUGCCAGCCUGACGGCAGGUCAGUCACAGUAUCCUGCAGCACAUCCGUGUAGCAAGUAGGCAUAACCUUAUGUACUUACAUGGGGAUUCUUUACUAGGUGCACUAGUUGGGUUGCUGUAGAGCUGACCUGACCCUUGAAUAGGCUUUUUCAGGAAAGUACUGUGAAAAAGUGACAAAUUCAGCUUGAACCUGGGCUUUAGGCCAUUUCUACGCAGCUGCCUAUUUACAGCUAGUAAACUCGGCUAGUCACUUGUUUUGAUGAUACCAGUUAGAUGACAACUUAUGACUAUCAAGCUGUAAGUGAAACAAUAAUUUUAAAGUUCAUAGUUUCUUGAACCUUCUGACUUCUCAUACCAUAUAUUUUUUGGCAUCCCAUUUUAUCUGUUCUGUUCAGUUAUGUCCUCUUCUAUAGUGGUGUUGUUCUGUACUUUGCUCAUCUUCUUUGCUCUAGCUGUGCUCAUCAAACUCCUUACAAUGACAGUUCAUAUUAAUGUUACUGACUUCCAAAGACCUGAUCUUUUAAAAAAACCUGUUUAUUAUAAAUGAGCCUGCCUCAUUUAUAAUUUAGAAAUCAAUUUCCCAAUAGUAUUAUGAACAUUCCAGAAGACAAAAAGGCCUAUCCAUAGAGCUUAUGGAAGCCAAUAUCAGUGAAAAAAAAAAAAAUUGCCUGCCCAAUUGAAUAUAUAUGGAUGUUGAUAAUAACUACAUGAUAUGGCUUGCUUAAAACUCCAUCACUCUUGUGACAGAAGAAAUCCACUAUGCUCAGCGUCAGAGAUGAUGGAGUUCUAUUGCAAAACAUUUAUUUUGGAAGAACAAAUACUCAUUUUUUUAUAUAUAAAUUUGUGUGAACAGCACAUGUUUUAGGAUUUUGCUAAAAAAACAACCCCAGGUUCUCCAUGUACUUUAAUUUUUCCUUCAGUUCUUCACAGAUUGAAUGUUCAUUCAGCCAGCCUGGGUGACUAGGGAGAUAUUUUUCCUGUCUUCAUUCACUGCCCAGUGAAGGGCUAAAUGUAAUCAGAGCAUGACAUGCCUAAUCAGUGUGGAACAUCCCAUCACACUGUCCCUAUGAAAACAUGUACGUUCUGUACAGGGCUGUAUCCAGUUCAAAUAAGUGCAUUGCAAGCUAUGGAGCUGCUGAAUAUGAUGCAUCGUAGAUCAUUCUUUAAGGAGACACAAUCUUAACUAUAUUCCAAAGCUUUAUGCUUUUUAUUAUGUUUCUAAUUGACUCUUGCUAUCUCAAAACCUUUUAAAUUUCCUUUUUACUAUUUAGACAAUUUGCUGCCUGCUAUUAGGUGUCUAUAAUUGAACGAGUUGACAUUUAUAUGCUUGCAGGGGAUGCACAAGUGAAAGGAAUCCAAUGUUUUAAAACCAUUUGGCAGUGAUAAAAUCAAAUAGAUCCACAAUAACUUAUGAUGUGUAUAGAUUUCACGUUCCAGACUUCAUGCUGCUGUUCUUCCGUUGUUGUUUGUACCUAUAUAACUAACAUUUUAGCAAACACCUCUUCAAUUGUAUAAGCUAUUGGGCAGGAAAGCUAAUCUGGCAGAAAACACAGAAGCAUUUGCAUCAAUAACCAUCUCUAUAAAAAUGUUUAUCAUUGGAGCUAAGAAGCUUUGCCAUUUGUCUAUGGUUGAGAGUUGUAAAAAGUUUCUCUCUCCUGAGAGAGGGAAAUGGCACCAGGUCAUUAUUGCUCUUCACAGAAACACUGUGGGGAAAUACUUGCUCUUAAUAUUACUUGACGCAAGCUCUAAAAGUAGUUCUAUAGAAAUAAGUAUUCUAGUCAUGUAUCUCCAGUAAAUUAAAAUCCCAGAAAAAUGCUAGAAAAUAGAAACUGCAAGUGUGCAGUGCACACUUCAGUGUGUCCUUAGUUAUCAUUUUUUUUAUAACUUCAGGUAAUCUGAGUGAAUUUCAGAUCAGGGUAUAUGAAAUGAGAUGAAUAAAGGUCUGCUCUUGGAAGCUGUUAUUCAUCAAUCAAUUAACUCAGGAAAAUUUUUUAAAAUUCUAAUCUUCCUGCUUCAGCUAUAUUGAAUUAAACUGUGACACCCAGGCAGUUAAAUUUUCUCCUUGAAAUAUAUAUACUUUGAUACAGUGUUUGAACAUCCAUCUGCUUUCUGAGGUGAGCAGAUGUGGCCGCUUCUACUGCAGUGUGAAGUAAGAAAACAUACUAUGCCUCUUUUCCUGGAAAAAUGCAAUAUGCCUCUACAUAUAUAUUAAUUUUUAAGUAAGGCUGAACAUAACUGGGUAAAGGAAAAUUAGCUGCAUUUUCUGAAAGUCUUCAUUUUGUAAUUGCUGUCAUAACUUGGAUUUCUAGGUGUUUGUUUAAUUUUUAAAUGUGAAAUGAAUCUUGCAUUGCUGGUUUACACUAAAGAAUACAGUGCUUUAAGUGCAA